CAUAAAUAUUAUCGCGUUGGGUUUGGGUUGUGGAGGAUCCAUUGGUCGAUAGAGAGACGGGGAAGAAUCGACUUCUACCCUCUGCCCUAGGCUCCAUGCUCGUCGUCCACCCACAGACUUUUCAUUUUUAGUCAAAUUCAGGUUUCUACCCUGUAUAUUCUUUGGACAUGGUUUCCUCCACAGGACUUCUCCAUGAGUAUGAUGAUUCCUUAUUUUCACGAGAAAGGCAUAAAGUGACAGAGAUUCAACAUCUAGAUCCAGAUACAUUAAGCUGUGAGUGUAAAUAUGAUUGUUUCCCCGUAUCUUCACAGCUUAGCAGAGAUGGACGCUCAUUCUGCAGGUGCAGGGAUAUUGCUUGCAUAUCUUCAUGUUCCAUUGAUAUUGAUGAAAAAAAUGGUUCAUAUUCAUCAGUAGAUAUGAGCUGUCAGUUAAACGGAACUAGCCCUGAUCUUCCAGAAUGUUGCAGUUCAGACGGCUCCUCAUUCCAAGAUAAGGGUUUCUCUGGGUAUUCUUUGGCUACUUGUGUAAGUGGUUGGAUGUAUGUUAAUGAACAAGGUCAAAUGUGUGGCCCUUAUAUUCAAGAACAGCUUCAUGAAGGUUUAUCUACUGGUUUCUUGCCAGAUGAGCUUCUUGUAUAUCCUGUUUUAAAUGGAGCUUUGACCAAUCCUGUGCCACUCAAGUACUUUAAGCAGUUUCCUGAUCAUGUUGCAACUGGUUUUGCUUAUUUGAGUGUGGACAACUCCAACAUGGGUACUAAUGGGGCUCAUUCUGUUCCUUGUAAAAAUGAUUUAGCUAUGCAUAGGCAAGAGGGCUUGGUGGAGUAUGCGAAUUCACAGACUCUUUGUCAUGAGUUACAAUCUGGCCCUCUAAGUCUUGGAUAUGAAAAUGGUGGCUGUAAACAGGCUUCAAAUUCUGAAGUUUUUUGCUUUAGUACUUCAAAUCAUUCAUCGUCAGUUGAGAGAUCAUGUUGGUUGAUUGAGGAUCAUACAGGGAGGAAACAUGGACCCUAUUCGCUUCUACAAUUAUAUUCUUGGCAUCAGCAUGGAUACUUGAAGGACUCAGUUAUGAUAUACCAUAUUGAAAGCAAAUUUAGACCCUUCACAUUAUUUUCUGCGGUGAAUGCAUGGAAAGCUGAGAUACCUCCCCCUCACUUCUCAUCUGAUCUCAAAGCCAAUGAGAGUAGCCCUUUAUUGAAAUUUAUAUCUGAAACUUCUGAAGAAGUUUCAUCCCAACUGCAUUCUGGAAUAAUGAAAGCAGCUCGCAAAGUGGUGUUUGAUGAGAUUGUUGGCAACAUCAUUGCAGAUUAUAUCACCAUGAAGAAAACUGAAAGACAAAUAAAGGUUGAACAAAACAACCAAACUACGAAGGCUUGCUCUCUGGACAGCAGAAUGUCAGAAGUUACUAGAGGAGGGGAUCUUCCUGCUGAUUCUAUGCCAGAAGCACAAGGCUUCUUUAGUGUUCCUGAGAAAGUUUCUACUGAUGCUGUUCCUGUUCAGUCUCUUAAAAUGACCGGCGGUGUUGAUAAUUUUAGAGAGGUGCAUGCAGUUAUUUGCCGAAUGCUUUUUGAUUACUCCUUACAGGUAGUUUGGAAUGCUGUUUCUUAUGAUAUGGUGGCAGAGUAUUCAUCUGCAUGGCGUAGCAAAAGACUUUGGUCUUAUCGUCCUCACUAUAAUUUAGCUUCUAGUGGGCAUAGUGAUCGUACCAAGAAGAUUGAAAAAAUACCUGCUGAAGCUGGUGUCAAUUGCCUAUCAGUCGUGGAGUUUAAGAGAGCACCAACAGAAAUCUGUGUGCACUCACCUGCUAUAUCUUUGUCAAUUCCUUCUAGGCCAACAUCUCAUUCUGGUUGUCAUAGGCCAAAGGAAAACUUGAAAUGGAUGGUGGAAUGCCUCGAAAAGGAGCUUCAUGCCUCUGCAAAGGUAUCUUUGUUUGAGUAUGUUCGGGAUAUUCUUGUGGAAGAAGUGAUGAGCUCAUGUAACUCCUCAACAGAUGUCAAAUUAAAUAAGGCUGCUCUUGAUAUGCCUGUUCAAUGUUCUAGUAUUAACAAUAACAAGGACUCCUUUGGUGAACUGCAUUGUGAUUCAAAUGAUACACGUGGAGAUAGAAAUUCAUGUGAACUUAAACUAUCUCCGUUGGAAGAGGACAAUCCGUCCAAAGAUGCAGCUCUAAAUUCUGCUGCUAAUUCAUUAAAUAGAGUGUUCAAAGAAGUCUGUACAAAUGAAGGUUGUGCUUUUAGUGAAGAUUUCAAUGAAUUACCAGCUCCUGGUCUCGAGGAAAAUUCUACCUUUCUCAUUCCAUCUCUUGCUUGUAAAUUUCGUCCUUCAAGCUCAAAUAAGUGUUCUCCUAAGAUUGAGGGGUACAUUAUGCUUGCAAUAUGCAGACAGAAACUGCACGAUGUUGUUCUUAAGGAAUGGACAUCAUCAUACAAAGAUGAUCUUCUUCGCCAGUUUAUUACAUCAUGGAUUGCAUCGAAGAAACAUUGCAAUCCUAAUGGAAUUGUGGAAGGAGCAUGUGAAGCCUCUAAAGUACCAGACAAAUUAAGGGAAGGAUCAAAACGCUUCUUGGAAUCUUCUCUUGCAGCUGGUAAUUAUACUUAUUACCGGAAGAAAUCAUCAAAGAAGAAGUUAGGAUCUUCAGAUUAUGCUACUGAGGGUAGCUCUGUUGUACGAAAUCAGCCUUCUGAAAAUUUGAAGAAAGAAAAAGUUUCUGCUGAUUUGUGUGAGACUACAGACACUGAGAUUGCUUCUUUGUCACUGAAAAACAUUACAAAAAGUAAAAGGCAGAAGGACUUGUCUCGCAAUACCACCUGCAAACGGACUUCUGCAGAAGUUACGUUAUCCAGUAGCCAUUCUUCUGGGAAAACCAUAUGUGGCACCAAAAAAUUAAAAAUUUCACCUAUAGUUAAAGAUGAUAAUGUCAACAAGGAUUCCAUGAAACAUGGGAAAGGGAGAAUGAUAGGUUCGCCUUUGGUGCACAAAAAUGUUGAUAAGGUUAUGAAUAAAUGUGAUCAUGGAGUUGGUGCCCGGGAAAGGCUUUCUGUGAAUGUGUCAAAGUUGAAAAGGAAACAGAAGGUUGACGAGUUAUCAUUCUCUCGUAAUAAGGUCUCGGCAAUAGCAGGUGAUGUUAGCAAGCAAGCAGCAAGUAAGAAGGGUGUAGCUCAAAAGGAAAAGUCUGAUAAAUCUAGGAAGUUAAACCUCUGUAUUAGAUCUAAUGGUUGUGCCCGCUCAUCAAUUAAUGGAUGGGAAUGGCGUAGAUGGACUCUAAAAGCAAGUCCUGCUGAGAGAGCUCGUAAUAGGGGUAUUCAAUAUUUCAAUUCUGAGCUAUUAGGACCUGAUGUCACUACAUCUCAUUUGUUAAAUGGCAAAGGCCUUUCUGCACGAACAAAUAGGGUGAAGGUGCGGAAUCUUCUUGCUGCUGCAGAUGGUGCCGAUCUUUUAAAAGCCUCUCAAUUAAAGGCAAGAAAAAAACGCCUACGCUUUCAACGUAGUAAGAUUCAUGACUGGGGUCUAGUUGCCCUAGAGCCAAUUGAAGCAGAGGAUUUUGUAAUUGAAUACGUUGGGGAACUAAUUCGUCCUCGGAUAUCGGAUAUAAGGGAACGCCAGUAUGAGAAGAUGGGAAUUGGAAGCAGUUAUCUUUUUAGACUUGAUGAUGGUUAUGUGGUUGAUGCUACAAAGCGUGGGGGUGUUGCACGAUUUAUAAACCAUUCUUGUGAUCCUAAUUGCUACACCAAAGUUAUUACUGUUGAAGGCCAGAAGAAAAUUUUCAUCUAUGCAAAACGACAUAUAUCUGCUGGUGAAGAAAUUACGUACAAUUACAAAUUUCCUUUGGAGGAGAAGAAAAUUCCUUGUAAUUGCCGUUCAAGGAGGUGUCGUGGAUCACUAAACUAGGAAAUUUUGUUGCACUUUCCAGUGGACAUGAAGUCUUGUCAAAAUUAUGUGGAUGAAGAAGCGUGAUAAAACUUGGUCCUUUCUGAGGUCUAAAUUAUCUACCUUUGCCAUGCGAUGAAGGGUUGCAUGUUGCAGCUGCAUGCUUUUCAGCGCACUCUGUCAUGCUACAAAUCUUCCAACUAAAGUUGGUUGAGGCUAUUGAUUAUGAUUGUUGGUAGAGGCCGGAUGACUGUUACACGGCAGACAAUUUUGCCAUUCCAGUGAUGAAUUUCUGACCUUGUUCAUUCUUAUAGAUAUCUCUAUAUUGCAGAUGAGUCUCUCCUCUUAGAUACUGUAAAGUCAAUUUUUGUUUUGCUUACACGAUCCUUGGAUAUUGAUUUUUUGUACAAACAUGUUUGAUUUGUUAUUCAAUAAAAGAUAAAAUGAGUAUGCUGACCAACCUUGGGAGUGAUACCAUCGUAAAAGUCAGAGGAAGUUGAUAUUUACGAAAAAUAAUUGCCAAGAUUCAUCCACCCCUCCACAAAAAAAGGAGGAUAAAUUCCGAGCAUCUGAUUUUACAUUGACCACUGGUUCCAUAAUCGCAAUAUACACAUUUUUGAACAUUCAGAACAUGCAUAUUGUGAGCGGGCAACGUUUUGAUUUUUUUUGGCGUCUUCAUUAUUGUUCUUCUAUCGAGACUAGUUUGAAGCUCCUUGUUGGGUUUUCCACAGAAGUUUGUUUCAAGUAAAAGAACACAAGUACUUGUCAAUCUUCAUGGAAAAACAGUUCUUCAGGAGUAUAAAGCCUAGAACUUGUGUUAUUGAGACGAUUGUGCUCUUUUUGGCAAACUUUCAGAUACUUGUGGACGCAUGUCAUGAAGCUUUGCUUCCAAACAAUGAUUUUUAUCAUUAGCAAUCUUAGACACACUCGAAAUAGUUGAAAUUUAUUAGUUUUAUUUACCAUGUCGGAUAUUAGGUUGAGAAGCAUUAAGUUGCAGCUAUAUUUUUAGUGGAUUCUUCUUUUUAUGGUUUCUUACCAUCGCAGGAAUUGAUACCCAAAGUGGAACCUUCGCUGCUGAGAGAGCUGGGGUUGGCUUUUGGCUCUCUGGUAUGACUUCUCUUCCCUUCAAACCCCAACCCAUUCAUUUCUUUGGUCUCGGUCUGGUCCUUUUUCACAUUUCAUCUGUUGGGCGUUGUAUCAAUAAUCCAUCCAUACCUUAAUUAAUUGGCAUCAUCAUGGUCAAUUUUUUUUAUUAAUUUAUGGGAACAUCAAUCAACAAAUUCUUGAUUUAUGGUAACCGUGUCAUGGGAAGGGAAAUUUGCUUGGACACGACCAAUAUUUCUGUCAAUAUUUUAAAAAACGGAAGGGUUAGGCAUAAAUAUAUGAGAGCAAUAUAUUUUUCCAAAAAUAAUGAUGAAAUAUGAAUAUUAGAAUCUGACCUUACAAUUGUUGGAACUAAAUGUGUGUAUAUUAGAAAUGUUAACCAUACAAACAAUGACCUGCAAGUUAUUUUCAGCAUUGCCCCUUUUUGUAAUUAUAUAUAUCUUCACAACGACAUUUCCAUUAUUUGGGAAUUCUAUAUUUACGGAUAUAUAACCAUCUAAUCACGGUAUAGCCGCCAAUGUAUUUGGGAGUCCGGUGAUGAUGAGUCUGAUGUGACUUGUCAAGAAAUUAUAGUCAAGACACAAAAAUGUUCAGAAUUGUGCUCAUCAUGAAGCAUAGUAAUGGACCGACGGCCAUGCAGCAAUGACUUGUGGACUUGUGCAAUUCUGACUACCACGAUUGUCAUUCACAUCUCUUACCUUAUUAAAUUUUUAAGCAUUGCAAAAGCCUGGAAACUUCAGUUACAAAUGAUUGCCAUGGGAACUAUAAACAUCUGUCCCUCGCCCAAUUAAAUUGGAGAUUAUGACGUCAAUUUGGUGUAAGGUGGGUUAGAAAUUUGGGAAAGAAUUUCAUUUUCUAAGUUAUAUCCAAAUUCUAAGCUUUGGUGAAGUCUUCAUGGAACUAAAGUACAUCAUUUAUAUCUCAACGUUCUUUUCAAGUGACAUUCAAGGAACCAAAAUUUUAAAAUCCACUAAAAACAGGGUUUUGUUGCUGUCUUAUAUCCACUUUCUUUUGUCUUGUUGGUUUGAAUUUAUUACACUAUGUACUAUCGCCUGUGGCCUGAAAUUUUGUAGAGUUGGAAGUUAGAUUAUUUAGUUUAUUUUCAUGUUGUAAGCUAAAGAAAUGGCACUCGUUUUGAAAACAAAAACCUCGAUAAAACUUCUAGGCCUCCACAUGGAACUCAGAUCUCAAGAAAUGUAAACUUGUGGUUUAGGACAGAAGCCCAAAUGGUUACUCAGGCCUUUGGUUUGUUGGCACCUCUCCUUUGCUUCGUCCGAGAAAUUUUUGAUUUUGGUGAUUACUUUCUACUUUUCGUACAGGCUUUGCGAAUUGGCUCUGUGGCUGUGGCUGUGGCUUGGCUGUGGCUGUGGCUGUGACUGUGGCUGUGGCCUUGGUUUGUGUACCUUAAGGUUGUCUCAUUUCUAUAUCUAGUAUAUAUGUGCUGAUGUUCUUUAUGAACCCUUAUGCUUUAUAUUGUUAGGAGUUGGUAUGAAUACAAAACUCUUUACUUGCAUUGA